AUUAAUAAUUAAUAUAUUUAAUAAAAAUAAUUUUAAUUUAAUAAGUAUUUUAAUGGGGGUUAAAGUAUUUUUUAAAGAAAAAAUUUUUAAAUUUAUAGUUAAUUAGUAUUGUGAAAGAAUUUUGAAAUAUUAUGAAAAAUAAAAUUUUUAGAAAGUAAUUUUUAUUUAUUGUAUCUUGUGUAUCAGAGUUUAUUAAAAAUUUUUAAUUUAUGAAUUAAUUUCUCGAAUUUAAAAGAGUUAAAUAAUUAUUAAAGUUAUUGUAGCAAAAUUAUUUUAAAUAAUUAUUUAGAAAUGAAAUGUUAAUCGUUUUUAAAUAUAUCUAGUUUUUAUAGAAAAAAAUUUAAUUUUAAAUUUAAAAAUUAUUUAAUUAAUUUAUUAAUUAAAUAAUUACUUAAAUUUUAUAAUUUAAGGGAUAAGCUUUAAAUUAAAUUUUUAUAAUAUUAAAUUUUUAUUUUGAAAAUUUUAUAAUUUAUAUUGUUAAUAAAUUUUAUUUUGUUAUAAAUAAUUUCAUUUUUUUUAAAAUUUAAAUUUUAUUUAAUUUUUUAUAUAAAAUUUAUUUAUAAUUAUAUAAAGUUAAUUAUAAUGAUAAAAUUAGUAUAUUAUUUAAUAUUAAAUUAAAAUUAAUUUUUGAUUAAUAAUUAAAUUAAUUAAAAGGAAUUCGGCAAAUAUUUAUUUUCACUUGUUUAUCAAAAACAUGUCUUUUUGUUAUUUAAUUUAAAGUCUAAUCUGCCCACUGAUUUAUAAAAAUUGAAGGGCUGCAGUAUAUUGACUGUACAAAGGUAGCAUAAUCAUUAGUCUCUUAAUUGGUGACUUGUAUGAAAGAUUGGAUGAAAAAU
rnacentral:rRNA from 1 species